rnacentral:rRNA from 1 species
UAACACGUGGGCAAUCUGCCCUUCACUCUGGGACAAGCCCUGGAAACGGGGUCUAAUACCGGAUAAUACUUUCCCUCUCAUGGGGGAAGGUUAAAAGCUCCGGCGGUGAAGGAUGAGCCCGCGGCCUAUCAGCUAGUUGGUGGGGUAAUGGCCUACCAAGGCGACGACGGGUAGCCGGCCUGAGAGGGCGACCGGCCACACUGGGACUGAGACACGGCCCAGACUCCUACGGGAGGCAGCAGUGGGGAAUAUUGCACAAUGGGCGAAAGCCUGAUGCAGCGACGCCGCGUGAGGGAUGACGGCCUUCGGGUUGUAAACCUCUUUCAGCAGGGAAGAAGCGAAAGUGACGGUACCUGCAGAAGAAGCGCCGGCUAACUACGUGCCAGCAGCCGCGGUAAUACGUAGGGCGCAAGCGUUGUCCGGAAUUAUUGGGCGUAAAGAGCUCGUAGGCGGCUUGUUGCGUCGGUUGUGAAAGCCCGGGGCUUAACCCCGGGUCUGCAGUCGAUAC